AGUGCUACCGGUUGCAAUGAAACAUAAACAGUUUCCGAGUGCAAAUAGUCUGCGGAAUGUGUUGUGUCUGGAGCCCUCUUGCUCUCCGUCCCUCCUUUCUCCAACCGAUGUACCCAAUUCCCCGGAAAAAGCCGCUCGAGAGGUCAAAGCUAAGCGUGUGGCUGCCGCCAUCUUGAGUCCGUUGAGGCAAAUAGAAGGGGAAGAGAGCCACAGCGAGAGCCGACGCCAUUUGCAUUGGCAGUCGAGUGUUAGCAACCGUCGAUCGAGAAUCGCCUCUCGGACAAUCGGGCGGUCGUAUCAGCCACGUGAUUCGUGUGACAGGAAUGUACCAGUUCUCGACGCCGAGUGACACGAGUAACCUCCUCGCUGCGCUCCAAGCUCAACAGCCGAAUGCCCAACAGCCAAUGCACCUAAUGUACAAUAAAAUAAAUAGGCGGCCGGAGUGAACGAGAGGAGGUGGAGGAAUGAAUAAACAAAAAAAGGUACAAUACAGUGUGUGAGAGCUGAAAGCAUUUGUGUUGAGUUCAGUGCAUCGGCUGCCAUUUUCCAAAGUUGAAAUUCGCCAACGCAAUCUCUGUUGUUUAUUCAAUUGCACUAAUAUCGGGAGUGCAGCGAAAAACAAAUAGUUGAAAAAGUUCAUCAAUCAUUGGCUGCCAUUUAAACGCCAUUUAUUUUUCUUUUUUGUUUAGUUUAUUUUUUCUUUCUCUUGUUAAGUUCGGUGUUGUUUACGCGGCGAAUACAGUGUACUUGGAAUCAUAACCGGGAAGUAAUAACUGUUAUAGUGAGUGAGUGAGUGAGUGAGUGUUUGUGCAACAGUGAUACAUCUGGGUCCUGACGUGUCAUCUCAACGAGGCGGGAAAGCUGCGUUUGAAACUGGACCGCCGAACAAGGUAUGUCAACAACAGAGAUACAGUACAUUUUUCGGUAAAUUCAGUGUGAGUGUGAUGGGGAGUUAUUUGGACGCGUGCAGAGAGAGAGAGAGAGAGAAAGAGACGCUGAUUGGUUUUACAUUUGUGCUUUCAACGUAAAGGUUUGUCAUGCAUGAAAUUUAGAUUUUUGACAUUAUUAAUUAGCGCUACAAUGGCGUCUGAAAGCUCAUUGCAUAAAACACCAUUUAAAAUUCAUUUCAAUACGAGCCAACGUGAAACACUUUCGUGCGGCCGUUGAAUCAAUUAGGAAACACGAGUCCGGAUGAUGGAUUACUGAUAAUUAAAUUCACUCCAUGAUAUCGACUCUCAAUCCUCAGAUACCCCAAUGUCAGAACCCCUCUGACAAUAAUAUCCAGCUUUAUCCUCACGAAGAAAAUUGUUCAAUUGUUUUCUCCUCAUUUCUCUCAAUUCAAUCAAUUUCUUUUGUUUCGUACCAUCAUCCGGACAAUCCCACCGAAUCAAUCCCCAUUUCUGUACGUAUCCACCGUAUCCAAAGGUGUUGUAAGACGAAGACGAAUCAUUUCACCGUGUGACGUGACACGUGGGAUAAUCGGUCAUGCCCAGCGGGGUUGAAACGCUUUGGAGAAUAGUAGCGUCAGGUGUCUCAUCUCCGUUCGGUGUUGAACCGAUAGGAUGGGGUCAGCCUAUACAUAGACUAUGUAUUUCAGGACUCUGGGGUUCACUGAGAACAAGUAAUCCAAAGUGCUGAAAAAAGGAUUAUAAAGAGAAAAAAAAAUUAGGGAAUGGGAAAUUUCACUCGAUCCUUAACUUUUUUAUCUCUCUCUCUCUCUCUCUCUCUCUCUCUCUCUCACUCUCCGGGAAAACAAUUAAUCGUGAACGCUCAUCAAAGGGAGAAUACCGUCAUCACCACCAUCUACAAACCACUGGGAAUAAGGUGGUAUGAGGGUAGAUAGGGAAUGUUCUCUGACAAGACGCUAUGGUUUCUCACAAUUAGACGUUGAAUAUGGAGAUUACACGUAGGGAUAGGGUACCAACGCCCCCGAGUAUUAAGCUCCAGCAUUUCUCUCACUUCUAUAUUUUCCAUCUUUCUCCUUCACAUCGUACAUUGGACGAGCCGUUUAUAUCCGUUUAUGAUAUUCCCUUUGUGUGCCAGUGCCGUUUCUCUCUGAGCAUAUUUCACGAGGUAAUUAUUCGCACCUGUAUUGUCGAACUAGAUCAUGAAUGACGGUGGGAUGAAGAAUUCAUAAAGUUAUAGCGGAAUUUUGUCAGCGAAAAAGUUGAAGCUUUUCCUGUAGAAAAUUGAAUUAGUUUAUCUAAUUGUUGCUUCUUUGUUUUGAAAUUUCUCGGGGGACAUUGAUUUGAUUACUGAGUUGAUGAGAGAAUUAACUCCAUGAUCGUUAAGAAUGUCGGGUUGUUAAAUGCGAAAAUUGAGGUGACUUUCUAUGUUUGAUGUUUCCAAUCAUUUAUCUGUCAGUGACAGAACUCAUGUACCCACUAUGGCCGGUUUUUAAUUCAAUAGUAUGUAAGCUUACAUUGUUGAAUAUACAUCGUGAAUAGAAGGGAAAUGAAGGAUUCGUAUUGUUGUAUUCCAAUUGUUCAUGUAGAAAAUUGGAUUAUUUUUAUCAAAUUGCAUUUCUGAGUGCUGGAAUUUUACCCGGGUAAAUUAAUGCAAUCAUUGGGUUAUUGGGAAAGUUAAUUGAAUGACUAUGAUGAAUAUUGAACAAUUAGCUGGAAAAAUUGGGAUUAUUUAUUCUGCUAGAAUGUUCCAAUCAUCAUCGAGGUACCAAGGACCAAUAGUCUAUGCAUUAAUUCAUCAUACGAGAUCCUUAGGGCCCGAUGGAGUACCUGUGCUGGACUUUAAAAUAAUUGUAGACUGUUUUGCUUCAAGGGCAUAUGCCUUUAGCCCUACUCACCAGAUUUUCAAGUGUCGAGAUAAUGGAUUUAAAGACAAAAUCUGUGAAUGAAAGACAAGUCUUUGACACAAAGCCCCGUUGACAAAAAAUCGUCGUCGGCACCUUUGAUACACCUGGUGUAUUCCUCUCACUGUCCUUUAUUCCUUUCUCCUCUUGUACUCCAGCCUUACAAAAAUAUAAAACCCCCAUGAGAGCCAAUUUUUUUUAACUCUCCCCCGGGGGGAUGAAGAGUUAAAUACCCAGAAUAUACUCUUUUUUAACCCAAAAAAAAUAUGGAGU